rnacentral:rRNA from 1 species
ACGAGCACUUUUACAGAUUUCUUCGGAAUGAAGUUUUAGCGACUGAGUGGCGGACGGGUGAGUAACGCGUGGGUAACCUGCCUCACACAGGGGGAUAACAGUUGGAAACGGCUGCUAAUACCGCAUAAGCGCACGGUACCGCAUGGUACAGUGUGAAAAACUCCGGUGGUGUGAGAUGGACCCGCGUCUGAUUAGCUAGUUGGCAGGGCAACGGCCUACCAAGGCGACGAUCAGUAGCCGACCUGAGAGGGUGACCGGCCACAUUGGGACUGAGACACGGCCCAAACUCCUACGGGAGGCAGCAGUGGGGAAUAUUGCACAAUGGGGGAAACCCUGAUGCAGCGACGCCGCGUGAGCGAAGAAGUAUUUCGGUAUGUAAAGCUCUAUCAGCAGGGAAGAAGAAAUGACGGUACCUGACUAAGAAGCACCGGCUAAAUACGUGCCAGCAGCCGCGGUAAUACGUAUGGUGCAAGCGUUAUCCGGAUUUACUGGGUGUAAAGGGAGCGCAGGCGGAAGGCUAAGUCUGAUGUGAAAGCCCGGGGCUCAACCCCGGUACUGCAUUGGAAACUGGUCAUCUAGAGUGUCGGAGGGGUAAGUGGAAUUCCUAGUGUAGCGGUGAAAUGCGUAGAUAUUAGGAGGAACACCAGUGGCGAAGGCGGCUUACUGGACGAUAACUGACGCUGAGGCUCGAAAGCGUGGGGAGCAAACAGGAUUAGAUACCCUGGUAGUC